GAUGAACGCUAGCGGGAGGCUUAACACAUGCAAGUCGAGGGGCAUCACGAGGUAGCAAUACUUUGGUGGCGACCGGCGCACGGGUGAGUAACACGUAUGCAACCUACCCUGUACAGGGGGAUAACCCGGAGAAAUUCGGACUAAUAUCCCAUGCAAUUAUUGGAGGGCAUCCUUUGAUAAUUAAAGCUCAGGCGGUAUAGGAUGGGCAUGCGGAACAUUAGCUAGUUGGUAGGGUAACGGCCUACCAAGGCUACGAUGUUUAGGGGACCUGAGAGGGUUAUCCCCCACACUGGUACUGAGACACGGACCAGACUCCUACGGGAGGCAGCAGUGAGGAAUAUUGGUCAAUGGGCGGAAGCCUGAACCAGCCAUGCCGCGUGCAGGAUGACGGCCCUACGGGUUGUAAACUGCUUUUCCCCGGGGCGAAUAACCCCCUCGCGAGGGGGAGUGCCGGUACCGGGGAAGUAAGGAUCGGCUAACUCCGUG
rnacentral:rRNA from 1 species